GAUGAACGCUGGCGGCGUGCCUAAUACAUGCAAGUCGAGCGAACAGACGAGGAGCUUGCUCCUCUGACGUUAGCGGCGGACGGGUGAGUAACACGUGGAUAACCUACCUAUAAGACUGGGAUAACUUCGGGAAACCGGAGCUAAUACCGGAUAAUAUAUUGAACCGCAUGGUUCAAUAGUGAAAGACGGUUUUGCUGUCACUUAUAGAUGGAUCCGCGCCGCAUUAGCUAGUUGGUAAGGUAACGGCUUACCAAGGCAACGAUGCGUAGCCGACCUGAGAGGGCGAUCGGCCACACUGGAACUGAGACACGGUCCAGACUCCUACGGGAGGCAGCAGUAGGGAAUCUUCCGCAAAGGGCGAAAGCCUGACGGAGCAACGCCGCGUGAGUGAUGAAGGUCUUCGGAUCGUAAAACUCUGUUAUUAGGGAAGAACAAAUGUGUAAGUAACUAUGCACGUCUUGACGGUACCUAAUCAGAAAGCCACGGCUAACUACGUG
rnacentral:rRNA from 1 species